rnacentral:rRNA from 1 species
GAUGAACGCUGGCGGCGUGCUUAAUACAUGCAAGUCGAACGGAAAGACCCGGCUCUUGUUUGUUUCUCGUUAGGCGAAGACGGGAGUAACACGUGAGUAACCUCCCCUUAUCAGUGUGGUAAAUUCACGAAACUGCGGCGAAUACCGGAGAUAAGCUCCUGCUCCAUGUGGUGCGUUGGAAAGUGUCGGCGGUUGUGGAUGGACUGGAGGCUUAUGAGCUGGUUUGUGGAGUAGGUGCUUACGAAGCCUUUGAGGGGUAGCCGGCAUGGGAGGGUGACCGGCCACCUUGGGACUGCGGUACGGCGCAGACUCCUACGGGAGGCAGCGGUGGGGAAUCUUGCACAAUGGGGGGAAGCCUGAUGCAGAAGUGCCGCGUGCGGGAUGAUGGGUUUCGGGUUGUAAACAGAUUUGGAAUGUGCUGAAGAGAGCGUGACGGUAAUGGGUCAGGAAGCCACGGCUAACUACGUG